AACGUAGGAGACGAACGUUAUCCGGAGUUACUGGGCGUAAAGGGCGUGCAGGCGGUCUGAUAAGUUCGGCGUGAAAUAUUCCGGCUUAACCGGGAUAGGUCGUCGGAGACUGUCGGACUAGAGGGUGAUAGAGGCGUGUGGAAUUCCGGGUGUAGUGGUGAAAUGCGUAGAGAUCCGGAGGAACACCGGUGGCGAAGGCGGCAUUCUGGACCGAUAUUGACGCUGAGGAGCGAAAGCCAGGGGAGCAAACGGG
rnacentral:rRNA from 1 species